rnacentral:rRNA from 1 species
CCCUUAGAUGUUCUGGGCCGCGCGCGCGCUACACUGUUCGACGCAGCGAGUCUUAACCUUGACCGAAAGGUUUGGGUAAUCUUCAGCAAAGUCGAACGUGAUGGGGAUCGAUCAUUGCAAUUAUUGAUCGUGAACGAGGAAUUCCUAGUAAGUGCAAGUCAUCAGCUUGCGCUGAUUACGUCCCUGCCCUUUGUACACACCGCCCGUCGCUACUACCGAUUGAAUGGUUUAGUGAGAUCUCUGGAUUGACGCUGGCUAGGGGGCGACCCUUGGCCAGGCUGUCGAGAAACUGCUCAAACUCGAUCAUUUAGAGGAAGUAAAAGUCGUAACA